UUUAGACUCUGGGAAGUCCAGAGUGCUUGGACAGCUGCUACAGACAGGACUGCUUUUCCAUGACAAGAUUUGAAGAAGAGAGAUUUUCAACAAUCAAAAAGCUUUCUGAGCUUUGUGGAGGCCACCCAGAGGUUCAUGGCACCAGCUACCCAGAAUGUGACCUACAAAGAGCUUGGCUCCAACUCUCCCUUGACAUGCUCGUGCAGAAACACAGGCUUGGAUCUUCUCUAAAGAAAAGUAGCAGCAUGAAGAGUUCCAGGCAGUGGUGGAAAUGAAGUACCUUCCCCUCACAGACCCGCCCAGAGUGAUCAUGGCAUCAGCACCUCCGAAUCGCUGCUAUUUUAGCCUCCUCAUCUCCUUCAUCCAGAACAUGAAGCCAGUUAUCAUAGAGGGAACCAGUAAACAGGCUUGCAGGGAUGUUUUGAAGAAAAUCC